rnacentral:rRNA from 1 species
UGGGGAAUAUUGGACAAUGGGGGGAACCCUGAUCCAGCCAUGCCGCGUGUGUGAAGAAGGCCUUAUGGUUGUAAAGCACUUUAAGCGAGGAGGAGGGUACUGGUAUUAAUACUACCAGCUACUGGACGUUACUCGCAGAAUAAGCACCGGCUAACUCUGUGCCAGCAGCCGCGGUAAUACAGAGGGUGCAAGCGUUAAUCGGAAUUACUGGGCGUAAAGCGCGCGUAGGUGGUUCGUUAAGUUGAAUGUGAAAGCCCCGGGCUCAACCUGGGAACUGCAUACAAAACUGGCGAGCUAGAGUAGGGCAGAGGGUGGUGGAAUUUCCUGUGUAGCGGUGAAAUGCGUAGAUAUAGGGAGGAACACCAGUGGCGAAGGCGACCACCUGGGCUCAUACUGACACUGAGGUGCGAAAGCGUGGGGAGCAAACAGG